rnacentral:rRNA from 1 species
GUCAAGUAAGAAUACCCGCUGAACUUAAGCAUAUCAAUAAGCGGAGGAAAAGAAACUAACUAGGAUUCCCUUAGUAACGGCGAGUGAACUGGGAAGAGCUCAAAUUUUAAAUCACUUUGGUGAAUUGUAAUUUGAAGAAAGUGUUUUGACUUUUCAGUUUAAUCUAAAUCCUUUGGGAUGAGGUAUCAUAGAGGGUGAGAAUCCAGUUCGUGAUCAAACCUCGGAUUGCACUAAUUCACUUUCUAAGAGUCGAGUUGUUUGGGAUUGCAGCUCUAAAUGGGUGGUAAAUUUCACCUAAGGCUAAAUAUAUGCAAGAGACCGAUAGCGAACAAGUACCGUGAGGGAAAGAUGAAAAGAACUUUGAAAAGAGAGUUAAACAGUACGUGAAAUUGUUGAAAGGGAAACGAUUGAAGUCAGUCAUGCUAGUGAGGAAUCAACUUGGUGGUUUACUUCCUUGUGUAUUUUCUUACUUGGCAGGUUAGCAUCAAUUUUGGUUGUCAUCAAAUAAUUGGGGGAAUGUGGCUUUUCUUCGGGAAAGUGUUAUAGACCUUGAUAGAUGUGGCGACUGAGAUUGAGGUUUGCAGCGAAUGCCUUGGGCUAGUCAUCUGUCUUCUGACCGUCACCUCGCUUUUGACAGCUUGCUGAUGAUUGCGGGAUUUGGUGGCCUAGAAGUUAGAAUGUACAUAAAUUCGCUAAGGAUGCUGACGUAAUGGCUUUAAACGACCCGUCUUGGAACACGGACCAAGGGGUCUAACAUAUGUGCGAGUGUU